GUGACAAAGCAGAAUCAGUACCAAGCUCAGCAACACAGCAUGACAGCAGCUUUUAGCCAAGAGAUCUGGGUUCAUUUUCGGAAUGGCUUACCCUGUGCUGCCCUUCACAAGUGAUCCUGUAUGCAGGAUGCAUACACAUGCUGGUAAUGUGGGAACACACAGGAGAGAAGUUGACGGGCCUUGCAUUCUUCAGUGGUUCAAAAAAGGUUUCAAAUAGUUCAAUAGAUGAAAAUUGAGAUGUUCUAUAAACAUGAAGUUGUUCACAGAUUGAUGACUUGGUAUUUUAUUGGUGUCUAGGUAUAUACUCCACUUAGUAAGACAGAAGAGAUGUGUCAUACCUGUCUGAGAUUCAGCCUGAACACGUUCACAUGUCUUCUCCGC